GUAACGGCGAGUGAAGCGGUAACAGCUCAAAUUUGAAAUCUGGCCUCACGGUCCGAGUUGUAAUUUGUAGAGGAUGUUUCGAGCAUGGUCUGGCCUAAGUUCCUUGGAACAGGACGUCAUAGAGGGUGAGAAUCCCGUAUGCGGUCAGGUGCCUACGCUCAUGUGAAACUCCUUCGACGAGUCGAGUAGUUUGGGAAUGCUGCUCUAAAUGGGAGGUAUACGUCUUCUAAAGCUAAAUACCGGCUAGAGACCGAUAGCGCACAAGUAGAGUGAUCGAAAGAUGAAAAGCACUUUGGAAAGAGAGUUAAACAGUACGUGAAAUUGUUGAAAGGGAAGCGCUUGCAACCAGACUUGCGCGCGGCCGAUCAUCCGGUGUUCUCACCGGUGCACUCGGCCGUGCUCAGGCCAGCAUCGGUUUUGGCGGCUGGAUAAAGGCCCUAGGAAUGUAGCUCCUCUCGGGGAGUGUUAUAGCCUAGGGUGCAAUGCAGCCU
rnacentral:rRNA from 1 species